ensembl:lncRNA novel transcript
CAAGCUGGUGUCAGGACACGUACUCCCAAAGUCCCACCAAUCCCGUACUAGCUGUGGCUUCCAAAAACAAGCACUUGAGGGCUUUCUCUGGCAUUCUGGGCUGGUGAUAGACACAAGGAUUGCAGGGCUUGAUAUUCCCAAGAAAUAGCUCUCUGUCAAUGACAGCCUUAGGCACAACUGGACUUUCAAUCACACAUAUUUUCCCAGAGAGGUGCAUGACAAAGGUGCCCAGCACAUCCUCAACUGGAAAUAGAGUUGGCCUGUUGCCCAGGCUGGAGUGCAAUGGCGCGAUCUCAGCUCACUGCAACCUCCUCCUCUCGGAUGAAGAGACUAAAAUUUAUAGAGAUGGAAAGACUGAAUGCACUAUAUCAUAGUUAUAACAGCAUGGAUCUACAUAACACAUGAGCAAAGACAAAUUCGCAUUCCUUUUUUGAAGCAACUUUAAUGACAACAUUUGUGAAUAAUUGUAAAAUUCCAAGUGCAGUCCUUGGUACAUGUUAGGUGCUCAAUACAUUUUAGUUCUCUAAUUCUUUAUCAAAUAAACUUAGUAGUAAAACAAA